rnacentral:lncRNA from 9 species
GGGGCCAUAUCCUUUUUAAGGUGUAGCCAAGAGACAGAACUUUUCAGAAAUCCCCUGUAAACCAAAGGAAGUCCAUGUGUUACAAGCAACCCCUCCAGUUUCUGCUUUUUUAAAAAAAUCUCCCUUCACCCUACCCUUUCCAUGCAAAGCCACACAACUGGUUUAAGAGAAAUGUCUGAUCUUAGCCUGGCUGGAGCAGUCAUCAUUUUUGGUCGCUCAUUGGUUGUAACCUUUUUAGUAGUCGAGCUUUGAGAUUUGAAAGGCACGUUCAAAGCCUGCCGCACCCAUCAUCAGACCUCGCUGUGCUUGUAGAGAUCCGGGAAAUAAUAGAGACAUCCCACAGCAACUAUGUAGGGCAACAGAAUGAGGACAGUCAAACAAAUACAAAAACCGCGGCCACCUGGAUCCAUUAGGCGCGCUAAUACCUCUGGGGAACGCCACCUGCCAAUCAGGAAAAGCGGGGAAUCUGGAUCCGUCUUCAAACGCUGCUCCUGCCCCCGGCCAGGGCAGAGGGACGCUGGCUGAGGGCAGUGUAAGAGCCGUGGGGACGUGGUCCUGGAUGCACGAGGAAGAGCUGACCGUGCCGCGUUCCACGUCGCUGAGCCCUGCCGCGCGCCUCGUGGGCCGCCUGGGAGCCCUCGGCGCGCUGGGAAGCCGUGGGAAGAAGAGAGGAAGCUGGCGUUGGUCAGGAGCCCGAUUCUAAAAGGACACCCUUUGACUUUUAUACCUUUGGUCUGAGAGUAUGGCGGGAACGAAGAGAAGAAGCGGAGGCAGAAAGGACUGAGCCGGCGGCCUUUGGUAGGUAAGCUCUGUGCGGAGCUCUGUUCUUCCGCAGCCCCAAGCCCGCCUUCCCCGUGGGUGGGACAGCGGUCAUGCUGCCUAAGGUUGAGGGGGCAGGCGUACGGGUACCCGCUAGGACCACGUAGAGACGGUUAGCUCCCUAGGCUGAUGCUGGCAGAGGGGAGGCUGCAGAAACCAGGCGGUUGAAACCAGAGAGAACAGACAGCAGGAUGCACGACCGGGGACGCCAUCCUGCCUGGGAGCCUCCUGGCGCCCACUGUGUGGUUCCAGCCCAGCUGCCUCACCUCCUCCCAGGAGCCUCUUGGAAGUGCACAUUCUCAGCCCCACUCGAGAUGCCCCCGCCUCAGUCAGGGACUCGGGGUGGGACAGGUGGG